rnacentral:tRNA from 1 species
GGGCAUAUAGCUCAGUGGCAGAGUGUGUGCUUAGCAUACAUGAGGUCCUGGGUUUAAUCCCCAGUACCUCUA